CCUACGGGCGGCAGCAGUGGGGAAUAUUGGACAAUGGGCGAAAGCCUGAUCCAGCCAUGCCGCGUGUGUGAAGAAGGCCUUCGGGUUGUAAAGCACUUUCAGUGGGGAAGAAAGCCUUGGGGCUAAUACCCUCGAGGAAGGACAUCACCCACAGAAGAAGCACCGGCUAACUCCGUGCCAGCAGCCGCGGUAAUACGGAGGGUGCGAGCGUUAAUCGGAAUUACUGGGCGUAAAGCGCGCGUAGGCGGUCUGAUAAGCCGGUUGUGAAAGCCCCGGGCUCAACCUGGGAACGGCAUCCGGAACUGUCAGGCUAGAGUGCAGGAGAGGAAGGUAGAAUUCCCGGUGAAGCGGUGAAAUGCGUAGAGAUCGGGAGGAAUACCAGUGGCGAAGGCGGCCUUCUGGACUGACACUGACGCUGAGGUGCGAAAGCGUGGGUAGCAAACAGGAUUAGAUACCCCGGUAGUC
rnacentral:rRNA from 1 species